AACAAAAACAAGAGUGCACACGCUGAAAUGUCUCGCCUUCUUUACUAAUCAUUGAUAUUAUGUUGAUACUCCUAAAUAUACAGCUUUAUUACGACUGUCACAUAAACUUAACAUGAACCAUGAAAAUGGUCAAGGUCAGUUGAACCAUAUACUAGGCAGACAUGUACAGCUAACAAUGCUUCCAUACACCAAAUAUAGUUGACCUAUUGCUUACAGUUUAAGAAAAUAGACCAAAAAACAAAAACUUAACACUGAUCAAUGAACCGUGAAAACCAGGUCAAGGUCAAAUAAAACCUGCACGACUGACAUAUAGAUCAUAAAAUAUUUCCAGACACCAAAUAUAGUUGACCUAUGACAUAUAGUAUUAGAUAAAAAGACCAAAACUCAAAAACUUAACUUUUGACCACUGAACCAUGAAAAUGAGGUCAAGGUCAGAUGACAUCUGCCCGCUAGACAUGUACACCUUACAAUCAUUCCAUACAACAAAUAUAGUAAACCUAUUGCAUAAAGUAAGAGAAAAACAGACCAAAACACAAAAACUUAACUAUAACCACUGAACCAUGAAAAUGAGGUCAAGGUCAGAUGACAUCUGCCCGCUAGACAUGUACACCUUACAAUCAUUCCAUACAACAAAUAUAGUAAACCUAUUGCAUAAAGUAUGAGAAAAACAGACCAAAACACAAAAACUUAACUAUAACCACUGAACCAUGAAAAUGAGGUCAAGGUCAAAUGACACCUGCCAGUUGGACAUGUACACCUUACAGUCCUUCCAUACACCGAAUAUACUAGACCUAUUGCUUAUAGUAUCUGAGAUAUGGACUUGACCACCAAAACUUAACCUUGUUCACUGAUCCAUGAAAUGAGGUCGAGGUCAACUGAAAACUGUCUGAUGGGCAUGAGGACCUUGCAAGGUACGCACAUACUAAAUAUAGUUAUCCUUUUACUUACAGUAAGAGAGAAUUUAACAUUACAAAAAAUCUGAACUUUUUUUUCAAGUGGUCACUGAACCAUGAAAAUGAGGUCAAGGACAAUGGACAUGUGACUGACAGAAACUUCGUAACAUGAGGCAUCUAUAUACAAAAUAUGAAGCAUCCAGGUCUUCCACCUUCUAAAAUAUAUAGCAUUUAAGAAGUGAGCUAACACCGCCGCCGCCGCCGCCGCCGCCGUAGCCGCCGUAGCCGCCGGAUCACUAUCCCUAUGUCGAGCUUUCUGCAACAAAAGUUGCAGGCUCGACAAUAA
rnacentral:lncRNA from 1 species